rnacentral:rRNA from 1 species
CCUACGGGAGGCAGCAGUGAGGAAUAUUGGUCAAUGGGCGUAAGCCUGAACCAGCCAAGCCGCGUGAAGGAUGAAGGCUCUAUGGAUUGUAAACUGCUUUUGUAAGGGGAUAAAGUGCGAGACGUGUACCGGGUUGUAAGUACCGUAUGAAUAAGGAUCGGCUAACUCCGUGCCAGCAGCCGCGGUAAUACGGAGGAUCCGAGCGUUAUCCGGAUUUAUUGGGUUUAAAGGGUGCGUAGGCGGUCUUUUAAGUCAGAGGUGAAAGUCUGUGGCUCAACCACGGAACUGCCGUUGAUACUGGUGGGCUAGAGAAUAUUUGCGGUAGGCGGAAUGUAUGGUGUAGCGGUGAAAUGCUUAGAGAUCAUACAGAACACCGAUUGCGAAGGCAGCUUACCAAGCCAUAACUGACGUUGAGGCACGAAAGCGUGGGUAGCAAACAGGAUUAGAUACCCUAGUAGUC